UUGAAUGCCAACCGGUGCCAACCACGUGCCAAAUUUCUUUGCCCACCUUUGGACAAACAAAGGACUCUGAAAUGUAAUGUUAAAAGAAAUAGGCCUGGGAGGAUAAUUUCGGUCCUCCUAUCCAGUUGUAAAUGAGAAGUCAUGGACGUCUGCUCCUCUGGGAGUCUCCGCCUCUUUGAAAAGAAAAUAGAGGUUAAAAAUCUGCUAAAGGAGUUAGCAGCAACCAGGAUCCUUCGCUUCCUCAGUUAAAGUCCCCUGCUACAAAGAUGUUGGAAGAGUCGUAUCAGGAGAUGGUGGAGUUUUCAGCAGGAACUUAACACUCCUCACAGUGACUUAGAAAGUCAUCCUUCUCUGGUCUGAUGCACAGACAUGAGUUGAGUAUCACAUUAAGGGGGAUGUGUGUGAAUAUAUGUUCAUAAC